rnacentral:pre_miRNA from 13 species
UUUCUGUUUACCAGUCAGUAAUAUUACCCUAACUUGAGCAUUGACUUGACUGUUGAAUUCAGUAAGUGCUACUUGUUGAGGCAGUUGAAAAUGA